rnacentral:tRNA from 1 species
GCAUUGAUGGUUGAGUGGUAGAAUUCUUGCUUUCCACGCAGGAGACCUAAGUUUGAUCCCCAGCCAAUGCA